UAGCCAUUUCCCCCAAAAUCCCAAAACAGAUAUCCUAAACGUUUAGCCAUUUCCAGCAAAACCCCAAAAUAGAUUUCUCUAAUUCUCUAUAUUUUUCCUAAUCCCUAAAUUUCACCCAAAUCCAUAAGUUUUUUUUAAUAGUUCUUCGUUUAAGUAAAGCCCUUAUAUUUAAAAAAAAAUUCAAUUUUUUUCAGGUAUUAGGGAAAGCGAUUCGGCCAGGUAUUUCAACAUCUAGAGUUUCUGUCAAUAUUGGAGAAGAGGUAAAUAUUCGAGUAAUUCAUGCUUAUAGUUGAUUUUUAUUUGAAUUUUGAUCGAUCUUAUUUUUCUUUUAUUUGUAAUUGAUGUCGAAGAUGCUUGAUUUGUGUAGGCUUUUGUCUCAGUAAAUGCUGAUAUAAAGUAAGAAGAUAGUAAAGAAUGCAAGAUUAACAUUUUUUUUGUUUCUUUUUCUUUUAAUAUAUGUGAGGUUCUAGCAUAUUUAUCAACGGAAAUAAACUUUUAGAAAAAUGAAAAUAUCUGGGGUUUUCGCGAGAGAAAAUUUCUUUUUCUCUUUCUCCAGAUUCAUUUGAUUUAUGUGAUUAUGUCAGGAAAGAAGUAGGACUCUUACCCUUUUUUUGCCUAUAAAUAUACAUACUUAUACCCCUUCAGUUCAGAAUCAGAGAGAGAAAAGAACAAACCCAAGAUUUUAGUUUUAGUUUUUGAAUCUUUAGAUCAAAAGAAUGGCAGAGGAAGUAGUACUGCUGGAUUUCUGGCCAAGUAUGUUUGGGAUGAGAUCCAGGAUUGCUUUGGCUGGGAAAGGGAUAAAGUAUGUAUACAAGGAAGAAGACUUGUGGAACAAGAGUGCUUUACUGCUGCAGACGAACCCUGUUUAUAAGAAAAUCCCUGUUCUUAUCCAUAACGGUAAACCUGUUUGUAAGUCGCUCAUUCAGGUUCAGUACAUCGAUGAGGUAAGGCAUGACAAAGCUCCUUUGCUCCCUUCUGACCCUUACCAAAAAGCUAUUGCUAGAUUCUAGGCUGAUUAUGUUGACAAGAAGGUACGUUCUUUUUUUAAGAGGCAAUAUGUGAAAAUAAGAAAAUAGUUUUAGUUCAAAAAUUCUUAUAAAAUUUCUCUCUGGAAAAAUGUGAAGGCAUAGCAUGAAAAUUUUGGCUGUAAUUUAGUUGCAUAAUGAUUUAGAGUAGAAAUUCUAUGGUACAAGAUUUGCACCUUUGCCUUUUUUGGCAUUUUUAUUCAUUUUUCACUUACAAAAGUACAUAUUGAUGAGGAGUGGGUGUCUGCUUGAAAAUGACUGUGCAUUCGUUUUAGUUCUUUAUUAUCUUAAAAAUAAAAAAAUUUUGGCUUCCCGAAUGAAAUGGUUAUCAAGUUGCUUAAAUCAAAUUCCUUUAGGUUGUGUUAGUAGAUCAUAGUUUUUUCUAUCAGGUUUAGAUUAAGGCAUUACAUAUUUUGUCUUGACAGACAUCAUGAUCCUGCUAUUUUUAUUCAUUGAUUGAUGAUAGGAUUUUUGGACUUGUAGCUAUUAAAGUUGCUACUUGGGGACCAUUUGUUUUUCUUAAUAUGGACAAUGAGAUUUUACAAAAGGAUAAUAUUGAUACUGACAACGUUGCAAGUGAAUGGCUUGGUAGCUCCUCUGAAUUAUUUAGCCUUAAUGGAGUUGAUACCACACUAACUUAUGUUUGUCGACUUGAGUACAUCAUAGAAUGUAAUUGGAAGGUGCGUCUCUGUGGUUAAUGGAAGCUCCUUCAAUUUAAUUUCUUGCUCUUAGCUUUUUAUGAUAAUACCUAAAUGAUAUAUAGAGUUUACUUGUAGCUUUAAUGAUGCUGUCUGUAUGCUUUGUCUUCUGAUAAAGCAUUAAUUAUUAUUAUCACUAGCACUAACGACAUUAUGUUGUCUUGAAUAUUAAAUUGCAUAUUCUCCAUGUUAAUGAUUAUAUGAUUGUUGUCCAAAGCUUGCUGAACAUACAUGGAGAUGGCUAGUUGUAUUUUGUUUUUUUUACUUACAGGUAUUCUGCGACAACUACUUGGAUGGUGGUUACCAUGUGCCAUUUGCACACAAAGGCCUUGCAUCUGGUCUUUCACUUGAUUCAUAUACCACCUCAGUAUGCUUCGGUCUGACCUUUCUGCUAGUUAUAUUUAAGAUUAAAAUGCUAUUUGUUUGGCUUGUAAUGUAAUACGGACAUGCUUGAAGCUUCUUUUAAGGUAAUUUUAUUUAUUAUAUGAUAUUAUAUGCUCAUUGUAGUUUUAGAAUAUCAAACAUGUGAAAACAUAGUAUUCACAAUGCAUAGUAGUAAGCAAGUGAAUAAAUUUUAUUUUGUACCUAUAAGCUAGAUAAUUUGAGCAAGGUAAAUUAUGACACUUGCAACUAUUAAAGAAAGGAUAAAUGCAUCAUGUAAAAAGAGAAUGUUGUUUAUAUUCAUCUUAAAGGACUCUGCUUCUUCCAUCUACUGUUCCAAGGGUAGGCGAAGGAUGACAUAUUUCCUGAUGUUGUUGUUAUUUGUUCAAGAAUAAAAGGAAGGAUACCGUAAUUCCGAGUAAAACAACCAUCUAAUGCAUGCACCAUAUUAUCCCAGAUAAAGAAAAUAGUAGCAUUUUGAUUACAGAUACUGAGUGUCACUCUGCAGCCAUGUCUAUGUGCUUCUCUAUGCACAAUAUGUACUUGGAGAAUGAUGAUUGCAUCAACCAUUGUUCACCUGCCCUCAGUCACACAUGCAUAUACAUAAUUGUCUCUUUUCCCUGUAUCAAAUAUUUGAUUUCGUUUUGUCAAAAAAAAAGUCUGAUUUUGUAUUGGUGAAAAUAUAAUUAGGCGUUUGCUUAAAAUGUAAAAGAUUCUGCACAUAAAGCUGUGAAUUAUGAAAAUAUUUUGUUUAAAAAACUGUUUUGAUCACGGCUUUGAUCUUAUCCUGCAUAAAGAAACCAUUCGGCUUCUUUUCAUUAGAUUGACAGUAUAUAAUCUUCGUGGGCUCAAUAACUUAAGUGUUGUUAAUAAUAUAGAUUAUAGAAACUAAAACUAACAUUUAUAAAUAAGGCACCUUGAGAAUUGUUCUAAUUCCAAAUUGAACUUUCUUGAAACUAUCUAGUGUUGUUGGUUAUCAUUGAAUGGUUUAGGUGUAAAGCUCCUUCAACUUUUGGAUGGAAAAUAUUAAAUGCAAAGAAUAUGUCUAUGUGAAGAGUAGUGAAGGCAUAUAUAUACCACAAAAUCCUUUACUGGACCUCUAUGUCUUGAGCUCUGAAUUCUGCACAUAUACUAGAUACAUGCUUCUAUUUUUGCGUAAGUUUUAGAUUAUAAAAGGUUAAUAAUAGGUAAUGUUGUUUUAGAGGAGACUUAUGCUUGGCUUCAUAUGCAUUAGCCUCUCAAAUGUUGUGUUUAUGUAUGUUGGGCAUUUCAAAGUGCAUGCGUGUGUGGGAUGCUGACAUUAACCUGGGUUUGAAAGUUCCUCUUACAUAAUAUUGAUGUUUUCUACUUUUUAGCCAUAAUUGCAGUCUGUAGAAUUCAACCAUUUUUCUAUUUUAUUAUAGAGAAGAUUUUCUGUGUGACAUGUAUUCUGUAACUCAUUUCAUUUUCCAUGUAUUGGUAAUAUGGUUCCUAUUUAACCGAGCUCUUGUUUUGGCCUUAGGAUGACAAAGCUUUCAUUGAGAGAAGUCUAGCGGAUAGUGAAAAAGUUUAGAUGGAAGACAUUAGACUGUGUGAAGGUGUUCAAAAAGGUAUUGAAUCACCUGCAUAUAGUACUGGAAGGAACAUCGACACUUGUGUUUCAGUUCUCGUCACAUAGUUAUUGGAUUCCAGCUUGCAAGUGGCACAAUACGUUUCCUCUUUAUUUACUUUCUUCAUCUUAUGAUGGGAAAGUAAUGUUGUGGGAUCUAAGAACAGCGGAAAAAUCAACUACACUAGAUUGCGGUCCAAGAACAAUUUGCAGAAGGCACAUAAUGACUAGCUCCUACCUCUACGAAUGCUUGUGGGAGGCAUUGCAGCAGCGAAUAAGGAUGAUAUUGAUCAAUAUGCAAUUGACACCGUAUGUGCUCUGAAUCCGAAUUCAGGUGUGACUUUUAGAUAUUUUAUGUGCAAAAAAGUAUUAGAGUGCCUUAUAUUUGUAUGUUAGUUAAGCAGAUUAUAGAUAGAACCUGCAGUAGGAUCAACUAAUUAGUUGAUCAAAAACUACACCCUAUUUUGUAAUCGUCUACUUGCAUAUUUACAUAUACUUAAUAAUAAUCUCGUGUCAACUAA